CCUACGGGUGGCAGCAGUGAGGAAUCUUGGUCAAUGGGCGCAGGCCUGAACCAGCCAAGUCGCGUGAGGGAAGACUGCCCUAUGGGUUGUAAACCUCUUUUAUAAGGGAAGAAUAUUGACUACGUGUAGUCCGAUGCCCGUACCUUAUGAAUACGCAUCGGCAAACUCCGUGCCAGCAGCCGCGGUAAUCCGGAGGAUGCGAGCGUUAUCCGGAUUCAUUGGGUUUAAGGGGUGCGUAGGCGGUGUUUUAAGUUAGUGGUAAAACGUCGGGGCUACACCUUGAUUGGCCAUUAAAACUGGAGGACUAGAGUACAGGCGAGGUAGGCGGAAUAAGUUAAGUAGCGGUGAAAUGCGUAGAUAUA
rnacentral:rRNA from 1 species